rnacentral:rRNA from 1 species
GACGAACGCUGGCGGCGUGCUUAACACAUGCAAGUCGAACUAAGUGGCGAACGGGUGAGUAACGCGUACUCAACCUGCCCUUCAGAGGGGGACAACAGUUGGAAACGACUGCUCAUACCGCAUACUUCAGGAGGGGAUUUCGUCUGAUUAGCUAGUUGGAGGGUGAACGGCCCACCAAGGCGAUGAUCAGUAGCCGGUCUGAGAGGAGGAACGGCCACAGUGGGACUGAGACACGGCCCAGAAUCCUACGUGAGGCAGCAGUGGGGAAUCUGCCGCAAUGGACGAAAGUCUGACGGAGCAACGCCGCGUGAGUGAUGACGGCCUUCGGGUUGUAAAGCUCUGUUAAUCGGGACGCGGUACCGGAAUAGAAAGCCACGGCUAACUACGUGCCAGCAGCCGCGGUAAUAC